rnacentral:rRNA from 1 species
UAGUGGCGAACGGGUGAGUAACACGUGGGCAAUCUGCCCUUCACUCUGGGACAAGCCCUGGAAACGGGGUCUAAUACCGGAUAAUACUCCUGCCUGCAUGGGCGGGGGUUGAAAGCUCCGGCGGUGAAGGAUGAGCCCGCGGCCUAUCAGCUUGUUGGUGGGGUAAUGGCCCACCAAGGCGACGACGGGUAGCCGGCCUGAGAGGGCGACCGGCCACACUGGGACUGAGACACGGCCCAGACUCCUACGGGAGGCAGCAGUGGGGAAUAUUGCACAAUGGGCGAAAGCCUGAUGCAGCGACGCCGCGUGAGGGAUGACGGCCUUCGGGUUGUAAACCUCUUUCAGCAGGGAAGAAGCGAAAGUGACGGUACCUGCAGAAGAAGCGCCGGCUAACUACGUGCCAGCAGCCGCGGUAAUACGUAGGGCGCAAGCGUUGUCCGGAAUUAUUGGGCGUAAAGAGCUCGUAGGCGGCUUGUCACGUCGGAUGUGAAAGCCCGAGGCUUAACCUCGGGU